AACCUAGCAGUAAAAUGGAGUUUUAUUUUCCCCAAAUCAAUAUGUCCAUUUUUGUGUUUGUCAAAGAUUAAUGUUCCUUCUUCAGAGUUUCAAGCAACUGAGCUGUUGCAGAAAGCUUUAUCAUCUGAUCAAAAUGAAACCUGUGUUUCCAUUGGUCCUGUGGUCAAAUACUGCUGGAAGAUCCUACUUCUGCUCAGCAAUCAAAAAGCACUAGAGGUAAGAAGGAUGAUAAACACAAAACACACAACACAUGGUCAAUGCCCUAAUGAUCCUUUCUAAGUACUAAAUCACUAAACAUUUUAAUCAAAAUUUCACUGAAAACAAUCCAUUAAUUGGCAACAUAACAGAUUUACUAAUAGGUCUCUUCUUGCAGAGCACCAGUAGUGGACAGCAAUCUCCAUCUCUACAAAGUCAAUCCAUUACCGGAGCAGCAGCAAACACUCCCAACAUCAAUACACACAAGACACAGAGCACCUCCAUGACCAAUGUCCAAAAAAACACCUCAAGUACCCCAGCUUCAACUCCCCACCAUGAGAGAGAGUCCACUGCAGGCUCCUGUGUGUCUACUCACGCCGUGAGCUGUCGGACGCUAGAGUCGGCCCCGGUGCCCUGUGAGGCCUGUGCUUGUGUUCAGACGGUGAUGAAGGAGAGCGGUGAUGCUUUAGUGUCACUGUCCAGUCUCUGGGUUUGCCUGGCUCCAUGCAGGGAUUCCUGGCAGCUGUGGAAGAUAACGCAGCAGAUGGGCCGCUUGUCUGCAUGUGACAUUUCCCAAUUGGCAAGUGAGCAGCGUAGAGAUAUGAGCCGUGUGGGGAAACAUGUCCAGGAGGUAAGAGAAACUGUUGAGCUGCUGAAAAAGAAGAUGAAAGAGACAGAGAUGGAGUGA
ensembl:lncRNA